UGCGUUCUUUGUGUGAGUGCCUGCGUGCGUGCAUCCUCUGAUCCCUCUUGUGUGAUUGCAGGGACUGAAAUCUCACUUUGUGGUGCCACUCAUCCAUAAACUUGUCAAUUCCAUUGGAGAAAAUGAUGGUGAGGAUGAGUCUUGGUGAUGUGGGUACUGGCUAUGGCUUCCUUGUGCGGAACCUCAUGUUAGGCUACUACACCAGGCUCAUCGCUUUCGUCAGGGACUACCGCCAUAGAGUAUGAUUGAUUUUUUUUAUUAACUAAUGAGUCGGGCCGUAGUCGUCCGACCUUCCGACACUUAUAGUACAUCUCGUUGACCCUCUGUUUUUCUUCUUCUUGGGUUUUUUCCAUCAGAUUGACAUGGAGCACAGACCAUAGAAGUAGGCCAGAGUUCUGCUGGAGGACCGUCAAGCUCGACCAGCAACCUGGGUUAACAUGUGUACGACGCUGAACUCUCUCCUCUUCAGAUAUUAGUUUCAUUUUGUUCCUCCCUGUUAGCAAGUUCUUAUUGCUCAAUUGUGAGAUGCUUGUAUAGUACUCCCCUAGUAUUUGCUAGGUCAGAUUAUAUGGAAGUUAGUUGAUAUGUGUCACUUAAGUUGGAAUUUGUAAACUGAAUUGUACCCAUUCUGAUUUAAGAGAAAUUAUUAUGAGAACCAAGAUAGUACUCCCCAAUUGUGAAAUGGGUUAGUAAUUAAAUAGUAGUUGCAGUAAAAUAUUUUCAUUGUGUUGAUGCUCCCCCAUUUUUGUUAUGUUAUUUCGUAGUUUUGAACUCCUUUUGAGGGACUGUGAAUAGAUUUGCAAGUGAACUGCUGUUGUAGAACUGCAGCGAGAGUUGUAUGAGCGAUUUGACAUGAUUUUGGAAAAUUACUAAUGGAGAACUGAUUCACUGAACUCGUUUGUAGCAAUCAGAAGUCAUACUGGCUAAUGAACAUUACUGUCCAAGCAAGCAGAUACUACAACUUAAGAUCAAAUCCCAAACACGCUUUUUAUUCGGCCUAUGACCAUAGUGUAAUUGUAAGUAAUUUAUUCCUAGAUGGACGUGUCUUAUUGAUCACACUUCCAAUCAAAUGUGUGCCACUCACAACAACUAAGCUAGGCAAUAAGUUGUUCAUGCUUUCUUUACUAUUCUAGGCUGCUUGAAUGUUUCUUCCUUCGAGGCUUUUUUAAAUAUUCUGUUUUUUGGCACCAUUUUAAUUUGUGAAGGAGUACCUACUACAAAUGCUAAUUUUUUUCCUAUCCAGAUUUGAAACUUUGAGUUCAGAUCUAAUUUACGUGUGUCCUCUUAAUUCUAAUAGUUUUCUUACUUUUUGGUGUAUUAAUAGGUGUUUAUCCUAAUAUAAUAUUUCGGAUGUCCUUUUAUGCUCACACAUACAUCAUGUUUUUCUUAAUAUCACUUACUAGACAAGUACUAGUAAGUCUUUUUUUUGUUAAGAUUCCAUCUAGUGCUUCGAGUAAUAAAUUUGUUUGUUCUUUGUUGCAAUCAUAUAUUUUUUCUGUAACACAUUCAUAAUGCUAUAUUUAUGCCUUUGUUUCCAAUAGGUUGAUUUGUAAUUCAUCUUUCAAGAAGUUGAUAUGGACAAAGGAGGAUUAUACCAACUCUAGUUGCCUUCAAGAAGUCACGAGAAGAGGCAUCCAACAAAAGUUUCGAGUUUUGAGGAAGGCGGUAGCUAAGAGUCAGACCCACACAGUCUCUAUUGAUGACCUCUAAAAUUAAAAAAAAGUUGUUUUAUUGGAUGACUAUGUAGCUUGGGUUAUUUUGGAUGGAGCAUGUAAGUGUAAUGUGUAAUAUGCACGCUGUAUAGAGACUAGUUGGCUUGUAAUAUGAUGUGAAAAUUGGUCAAUGGAAAGAUGGUCU
rnacentral:lncRNA from 1 species